rnacentral:misc_RNA from 1 species
GAAAUGCGAUAAGUAAUGUGAAUUGCAGAAUUCAGUGAAUCAUCGAAUCUUUGAACGCACCUUGCGCUCCUUGGUAUUCCUUGGAGCAUGCCUGUUUGAGUAUCAUGAAAUCUUCAAAGUAAAUCUUUUGUUAACUCAAUUGGUUUCUACUUUGGUAUUGGAGGUCUUUGCAGCUUCACACCUGCUCCUCUUUGUUCAUUAGCUGGAUCUCAGUGUUAUGCUUGGUUCCACUCGGCGUGAUAAGUUAUCUAUCGCUGAGGACACUGUAAAAGGUGGCCAAGGUAAAUGCAGAUGAACCGCUUCUAAUACUCCAUUGACUUGGACAAUACUUUUAUGAUCUGAUCUCAAAUCAGGUAGGACUACCCGCUGAACUUAAGC